ACAAACUUGGUCAUUUAGAGGAAGUAAAAGUCGUAACAAGGUCUCCGUUGGUGAACCAGCGGAGGGAUCAUUACCGAGUCUUCGUACUCAAAACAACCCUUCUGUGGACCUGAAUAAAACCGUUGCCUCGGCAGGCGGCCCUACCUACGGGCCAGAUAGCUCGGCUGCCUCUAGGGAGAAAACCUCUCUGGGGCGCUGGCGCCAGCCGCUGGCCCCAAACCAAAACUCUAGUAACUUUUACCUUCUGAGUUUUAAUGCAAGAAAUAAAGUCAAAACUUUCAACAACGGAUCUCUUGGCUCUGGCAUCGAUGAAGAACGCAGC
rnacentral:misc_RNA from 1 species